UAAUGUCCCUUGUGUCUCCUUUCAUAAAAGGUUGGGCCAAUCUAGAGGGGAUUUCCAGAAUGUUUCCCAGAAUAUGACUGGCCGUGAAACAAUACCUUCCACCUCAGAGCAUCUCCUCCCUGGACCUGCUCUUCCCUGCUGUGGCACAGGCCUCCUUUGAGCGCACAAAGGCCAGGAGGAGGAGGAAGCCUUCAGAGACAAAGGAGAGAUAUGACUACAUGACCGACAGACCAAGAGGCCCAUGUCAGGCCCAGAUGGGGCUGGUGAAGAGUGCAGAAAGGGAGAAGUGGAUUCUUCAGAAUAGAGAGGAAUCUUACAUUUGACCUGUGUAGAUGUGGAAGG
rnacentral:lncRNA from 1 species